GGGCGGUUAGCUCAGCUGGUAGAGCAGCUGACUUACAUUCAGCAGGCCGUUGGUUCGAUCCCAGCACCGCCCA
rnacentral:tRNA from 1 species